GGACACAGUUCCGUCUCAGUUCUCUCAGUCUGACCUUCUUACACCCCAAGAACUCCCAAUCGGAUUGUCAUCCAGAACACCAAACACUUAUGGGAAAGAUCUGCUUUACAACAGGAUCCAGAUGAAUCUACUGACACUUCUCUGGAGAGUGCAGGAGAAAGGAAGGAUGUGGCUUGCAGUAAAGAAGAACAAAGAAAUAAACUGUCAGAAAGCGAUGAAGAUGGAACCAGAAUAAAGGAAGACAUAAGAGAACUGAAGACGAAUCUGCUUACUGACAAAUGAUGAUAAAAUUAUUAAAUAAUGUUGGUAUUUAACGGUCAUGUUGGAUAUUAUUAGUACGCGU
rnacentral:lncRNA from 1 species